rnacentral:lncRNA from 1 species
GAUAAACUAUUUGAGAAGGACGGGUUAGCUUUAUAGUAGAGUCACUGCUUUUCCUGUAAUGCAUAGGGCAUGAACUCAUAUACAUACACCACACACACACACGUACAUACAUACAUACACACACACACAUAAACACACAUUCUACACACACACACACACACACACACACACACACACACACACACACACAGCUUCUUACCCAGGGUUACACUGUUGUGCCUGUUUGUCUGCAGUGCUGUUUGUACAUUGGGUGAUAAAAUAGGAGCUCCUAGUUACCAGUUUCCUCACCCAUGCAUAUUUAAUCGUUAAUGAAAUAAUAACAAUAAAUCCAACUUCUAGAGUGUUCUGUAAUGAUCACACUAUAGGAUUCAUUAAAGGAAGCUAGUUACAAACUGUACUGGAUUAAGCUUGAGAAAAUAAGAGCUUUGUUCUAAAUUCAUGUGGCCUAAGAAAUCUAAAACUGUCAUGCUAAUUCUUAUUUGUGCCUAGACACUGCAGCACAUGUGGAAUAUGUACACAUCAGCCAUAUUGUUGUAUUCUUAUGCUCAUUCUACAGUCGUAAAUAUUACUCAUUUCAUUGUCUCGUAUUCAAUUCAUUGUAUCCUUCCUUUAAUUUUCACUAAUGAAAACCUUAGGAAGCAGCCUCUAAACCCAUAUAUUUUCAAAAUUCCAGAAUGAGGUUCUAUAUUGGAAAGCUAUUAUGUAAACACUCAGGUUUUAGAGACAUAAUUUAUCUAAUAGAACAAACUAAUUCCUAGAGAUAUUUUGGACUUUUACUUAGGUAAAGUGAAGAAGAGUGUUAGUAUUUCACAAGUGGUGAUAUACGUUAUGUAAAUCAGAUAUAACUGACCGUACUGAAGACAUUCCCUGUGGAUACUUAGCCAUUUCUUUAGCAUCCCAAUCGACAGUGAGUGUCUGAGGCUGGCUCGACCACAUCAGAGUGUGUGGCUACACACCAGGCGCACAUGCAAAUGUAUCUGUAGGGCAACAUGUCCCAAACCACAAAGGUUAAUUUUAAAAAGUGAAACGUUUUUAUUUGUUUAAAAAACGUCAGGCUUUAAGCUUUACUUUAGUAAAUGAAUGUCAGGUGUUAAGUUAUCAUGAUUCAUUAAAAAAAAAAACAAAACUUUUUCUUUACAUUUUAAUCUUAAAAUAGAACAAUGUUUUUAAGUCAGAUUACUUGUGUGUUUCAAGUAAAAUAGAACUGGAGUAGAAAGCAAUAGACUUGCCAGCACAGAGUCACGGCCGAGUAGGUUCUGGGGGGAGAGGUAACUGUAAAUAGAGUGCGCAGUUCAGGGUCUAGACACAGGGCCUCAACCCGGGCUGGACUCCACCUUGUGACGUAGUAUAGCAAAACUGCUCUGAAGCUUCCGGUUUCCCUGCCUCUGCCUCCCAGGUGCUAGGAUGACAGGCAUGCCCAGCGUGUCCAGCCUUUUUAACCAUUUCAAGUCUGAGCUCAUCUAAUGAGAGGUUGUUGAUGAACAGAAUUGCUCCCUUUUAUUUUCAGUGAUUAGUCAAAUGAAGUAUUUGUUUCUUAUUAAUGUAAUAACAGUCCUCAGAUGGCAGUGACCUCACCCUAAAAACCAUCUCUUACUUUCCCCACGUCCUAGAAAUUAUGUCCUACUUUCCCCAUUGGCAGGCUUGUCUCCACCCACACUGCAGGGAAGGAAAGCACUAACAGUUCAGACUGCGUUCUAUUCCCAGUGAGCGUUAUUUUAAUAAAAAAGUAACAUACACAUUCAACAGUAGGUGAGUGAUUUUCUGGACCAAUAUGUAGCUCAUAGAUAUUAGUUAGAAUGUAACAAAUUGGGAAAAUAAUUCUAAUAGAAAAGAUAACAGAAAAAUGAGUUUAUGUGAUAUAAACACGAAUAAGAAAAAUAGAAGCACAACCCCUUAUUGGAUACUCAAUUUUCAUUUGCAGUUUGGUUCCUUUCUGACCUACUGUGAUUCACUGACCUGAUUGGUGAUGUUGGUCCCAGCAACACAUAUAUUUUACUACUUGUACUUAUAUUUUAGCAUAUAUACUUUAAUGCUGUUGAAAGGUUUACUUGAGACAUGUGUAGUGAAGACAAUGUGUGUAACUUGGAGAUGGAGAGAGGGAAGUCAUGAGUUUGAGGCUGGCCUGUGCUGCAUGGGGGCCCUGUGUCCACAAGAAAGGAAACAAUGUUCCUUGGGUGGUGGUGGGUAUUUUCAGCAGUCCACACAAGCAGAAUAGCAGUGAGUACAUGCUUUAGCCUUCUCAAGCAGAAUAGAGAAUACCGCCUGUUUUCCAUGUGUCUAUUUUCUGCCCUUUACAAAACAGUAAAAAGCAAACAAACAAAAACAAACAACAACAACAACAGCAACAACAAAAACCAAGCAAGCUUGGACUUAUUUAAAGGGGAAAAGAAUUCCUUUAAAAUAGUAAUUUGCCAGUAUUUGCCCUUAGUAUGAGAACUUUUACUAUUUCUAAAGUUAAAGUCAGAAAAUGACAAUAACAACAACUUAGAGGUGAAUCCCCCUUCCCCAAUAUGAGUAUAAAUGAAUCUGUCAUUGCCAAAUUACUAGUGAAUGUACAGUUCAGAUUUGCUGGUCUUUGAAACACAGUACCACUAAGUGUCUAGUGAUUUCAAUGUUAUUUUGCUGUGUUUGUGACCACUAAGCUUGCUCUUUCUAUAAAGGUAUUACCUCUAUCCAACUGUCCAGGACUUCACAGAAAAUCAGAGGAUGCAAGAAGAGGAUGGGUUGGUCUGACAGAGGACUCCUUACACUCCUUACUGUGAUCACAGACAAGAAAUCCAUUCUAAGUGCUCUGUAGAUUUUUUUGAUGAAUGUUUUAUGCUUGCAUUUAAACUUGAAAUGUAUGAGCGGAAUGAGACAAUCUUUGCAAUCAGAAUUGAGAAGUGUUACAAUUGAAUGGCCUUGUGCUGUAGCAAUAAAUGACCAAGUGCAAUGACCUUAAUAAAAUCAUCUUUCAAAAGUUGCUGCUAUUAAUAUUUCUAGUUAACAAGAUUCUGCCCUUGUUUAGCCUGCCUUGCCUUCUGUUUGUUAACUGAUGUGAUACAGUUGAUGUUUUGACAAUCUAACAUUCCAAAGUCCACAUCUAUAUCUUAGAAUCUUAGAAUACUGUCUUCAUUUUUUACAGGUGCUGUUAAAAAAGGAAAUGACAGAAAAUAUGCUUUUCCCUCAAAAAGAAAAAUUAAUAAUAAAAAAGAACUGUGCUGCCGCUCG